GUAUCAAAAGCAAGACAUAAUAGAAUAAUAAAUACUCCGCGUAAUAUUUGCUAGACCUAAAACAGUUAGCACUAUUUUACUAAUAAAUAAUAUUAUAUAUAUACUUGAAAAUGAUGGCAGACCUUGCUUUGGCCAUGGUGGCGGCAGUGCUUUUGGUGCUGGGGCCUGGGGCAUGUUCCAUGGAGUGAUAAUUCAGUUAGCCAGCACAUUGAUUUGAUGCUCGCUGAAAUGAGAGGUUUCAAGUUUCUUGUCACUGAUGGGGAAUCCUAGAUACUUCAUUGGGAAUUUACCAAGCCUGCAGUUCAACAUGUUGGCAAUUUGUUGCCUCUCAGCAGAUACAUCAAAUUUUUACCUUUCCUAUGGUAAUGGGGGUGUGAAGAAACAAAAUGUCAAGUACUUCACGAACUGAUCACAACGUAGAAUGCUCAUAUUUUGCUAGAUUUUGGAUGUAAAGAUGGAGAAUUAUGAUUGUCUGAUUUCAUAAUAAAAUAU